rnacentral:rRNA from 1 species
CGCUGGCGGCGGGCUUAACACAUGCAAGUCGAACGAGAAAGGUUCUUCGGAACUGAGUAAAGUGGCGCACGGGUGAGUAACGCGUAGGCAACCUGCCCCUAGAUUUGGAAUAACUCCGGGAAACCGAAGCUAAUACCGAAUAACGUCUCUUGAUCGCAUGAUCAGGAGACCAAAACUCCGGUGUCUAGGGAUGGGCCUGCGUAAGAUUAGGUAGUUGGUGAGGUAACGGCUCACCAAGCCGACGAUCUUUAGCUGGUCUGAGAGGAUGAUCAGCCACACUGGCACUGAGACACGGGCCAGACUCCUACGGGAGGCAGCAGUGAGGAAUAUUGCGCAAUGGGGGAAACCCUGACGCAGCCACGCCGCGUGGUGGAUGACACC